CAAACGGUGGGUAGGCGGCUAACACCCACCCGUGUCUACAUACUCUUGUUGCUUUGGCGGGCUCUGCUCUGCUCGUGUGUGCCCGCCAGAGGACCAAACUCUGAAUGUUAGUGAUGUCUGAGUACUAUCUAAUAGUUAAAACUUUCAACAACGGAUCUCUUGGUUCUGGCAUCGAUGAAGAACGCAGCGAAAUGCGAUAAGUAAUGUGAAUUGCAGAAUUCAGUGAAUCAUCGAAUCUUUGAACGCACAUUGCGCCCUGUGGUAUUCCGCAGGGCAUGCCUGUUCGAGCGUCAUUUAACCACUCACGCCUGGCGUGGUGUUGGGGCACGCGGUCUCGCGGCCCCCAAAAGCAGUGGCGGCGCCGGUGGGCUCUAAGCGUAGUACAUACUCCCGCUAUAGAGUUCCCCCGGUGGCUCGCCAGAACCCCCUAAUUUUUACCGGUUGACCUCGGA
rnacentral:rRNA from 1 species